CCAUGAUGCCAACAUGAAGCACACUUUAGCCCUUCGUGCAAUCCCAGUAUACUUGCGUGAGUAGGACCCACAGGUCUUUAAGACGUGGAAUAGUGAGGAGUCAGGUGAACCAGACAUCACAGACUGUCCCGUUGCUCUUGUCAUGGUGGUCAAAAGAGACACAGCAUGUCCGGUUCAUUUAAAUCCUGCAAGCACCGCUAUCGUGGUUGAAGAUGAUGUUGUGAUGAGUGAUAUCCCCAGGUUUGCCGAUGCAUUUGUAUUGUUGUUUGGGUUGAUCUAUGCAUUGCAUUUGGACUACCCCAAGAAACU